AACAUUCCCUAAAUUAAAAUUUCCCCAUCUUUCCCUCCCUUCUCCUCUCCUUCUCCCUCUUCCUCUCCCUCUUGAUCUCUUCUUUCACGAUCGCAUGACCAUCCAGACCGCCAUACUCAUCAGAGCCCUCACCAAGGUCUGUUGUUGCACCUGCAAAAUCUUCUUCGCUCAGGACCACGCCGCUGCUGCCAGUGCCAUCGAGCAUGACACCGUUGCCAUCUUUGCCUGGAAGAUUGAGACCCAUGAGGAGUACCAGUGGUGUACCGAAAUGCCCUUGAUUGAGGCCCAGGUGGUGGAUCCGAUUCGAUAAUCAAUGAUGGUGGUUAUAGCAGCGCAUCCUCAAUCACGUCAUGAAGUCGUACAACCGGGUGGCAGCAAAUCAGUGGCCUUGUUCAGUUUGAGCAGAAUGAGCCGACGAAGAUUUGGACCAAAUAAGCUUUUGAGAAGCUGGAUUCCAUUUAUGGGUUGCUUGAGAAGCCGUCGGAGAAGAAGAAUGGGUAUGUUCUGCCUAGAGCUGAGAUGGUGAAUAUUAACUAAGAUGAGGUUCAGUCUGUUGGUUUUUGAUUAUUUGCAGAUGAAAUUUGAUUUUUGUGGGAUUUAACAUUGAUAUUAGGCUUUUCUAGCUGUUGAUUUUGUGGUUUUUCUUGAUUCCUUGUAGCUCUCUGUUUUGCAACCUUAUAAUUGAUCUGGGUAUUGAAUUUUUGUUCCAUGUUAUACUUUUGCGAGUUGUUUCCGAUUUAUUAUUUAUUUGAUGUAGCUCUCUGUUUUGCAUUUCUUUCUAGUUUUUUAGUUCAUCUGGGCAUUGACUUUUUUUCUAUACUUGUCAACUUUUCUUAAUAUAAUUUUUUUUUUUGUGGUCUAUUAGUAUAUGCUUAUUACUGUCUUCAAUUGUAUACCCAAUUUGCUUCUUGAUGCAGGCUAAUGUGGGAUAGGUAUUUUGAUAUCUACCCUUGGAUUGGAUAGACUUUUAAGGAGGCCUCAUUGGGAAAACUUUCUGGUUUCUCUUUGCUUCCUUUAGUUUUAUUUUAUUUAUGUUCUUAAAUGUGGAAAACAGUUACUUUGGAUAGAUUUGAUGUUGAGUAUUGUGGUAAAUUUACUUGAGCUUCUUGUUGGGAAUCAGGCAAUUUUCAUAAAUGCAUAUGGUUAGGGGAGGAGCUUUGAUAGUUAUUGCCUUUUUACAAAUUAUAUAUAUAAAUUUCUUUUAAGGUGUGAAAUGCUGAUGUAUUAUCUAAAUUGCUGAUCAUUUGUGGUUGAUGGUCUUUACAGCUCGUUUCAAAUUGAUAGAGCACGGCAGGAUAUUAAGAAUGCCAUCUAUUUUCCUUAUGGUUUUCCAACAUUAAGACUACCAUAUUUGGUGAAAUGCCUUUGUUCUGAAUUAUAUUGCUAAAUAUGUAGCGUCUUUCUAGGUAAGACUUUGUCUAGUUUGAUAAUAUUACUAAUUCAGUUUAUUCUGAAAGAAGAAAAAUAUGAAACAAAAGUGCUACAUGUGAAAAAAUGAGAGUUGACUACCCCACACAUAUAGCCGAAAAGGAUAUGCACAUUUGUGUCUUAAGUAGCAGCAAUUCUUCAUUGUUUAAUAAAAUACUUACGAAUAUGCAAAUCUACAAACCAGCUUCUGUUAUUGUGAUGAAGAGGGGACAUGAUGUUAAGGUAUAUCAUUCUUUGUCUUGCACAAAGUUGAAGUUGGUGGCACCAUCUAAAACUUUCUACACACUUUUUUUUUUUUUUUUUGGGUAAUAGUAUUGCUAGAUAAGACUAAAAAAGAACCAUAGUAAAGAAUGAUUUGAAUUGAGGAUUCUGAGAUUUGUGAUUGAAGUGAAUAUUGAUGUGGUUUGUUGAAGUUGGUUACUUGGUUUUGGUCUUAAAUAUGUAUAUAUAUAUAUAUAUAUAUAUAUAAAUAUGUAUAUGGAUGUUGUUUCAUACUGUUGUUGGCUUUUUAAAUUCAUAUGUCUAGGGUAUCAAAAUAAUGAAAAUGAAAUUUCUUGGAUAUGUUUCAGAUGGCUUAAAUGGAUAUUAAUUUAUUAGUUCGAUUACAUACAAAGCUAGUUAGAAUGGCAUACUUGUAUCAUUUUAAUAAAAAUUGGUCUUAUCAUUGCUACUAAAGCUACCACCCUGACCCUUGAUAAAUUUUGAUUAGAUAGUAUUAUUGCACCAUAUCUAGAUAUAUGGUGGCUUUUAUCUAUUUGUUUGAUUUGCAUUACUAUUGAAAAGGAAGUGUCCUUUGUUUUCUUUUUGUUUUAAAAUUUUUUCCAGGUUGUUGAAAGCAAGUUAUUCCUAGUCAUUUAAAAUUUGGCAAAGAUCUUACUUCAAUAUAAAAGACAAGGUAAAUGCCUAAGCUAACUUAUACUUCAGUUUUUUUCUAAAUGCCUUGAGAAGAGUUAAGUUCAGUGAAACAUUUGUCCUUUGUCAUGCCAGUAGUUGCAGAAAAGAAGUUUUCUUUUCCGGCCCUAGUUUUUAAUUGGAGAUUUUUCAUCUAAGAAUUGUUCUUAUUGCUUUUGAUAGAUUAUUUUCAAUAUUGCUGGCAAUUUAUACUCUUAUAGUAUGAUUAUUACUGGUUCUCAUAUAACUAUGAUUGAUAGAUUUGGAAUUAGUGGUUGGGAAGUUGGGGGAAUUGAAGAAGAGGUGGGAAUGCUUGACAGGAUCCUUGGAGAAUAUAUUAAUGAACUGCAUUGGAAGAUGGAGAUUGUAAAGAUUUUGUGGGUAUAGGCAACCAUCUUGUAUAUAUAUUUAUUUUUUUCCCUAAAAUUACAAACUGUUUUUGUUUAUAUUUUUCUUUUAAUGUAAUAUUAUUGUAUUUGGUACACAUUAUAUGGUAUGAGUUGGUGUCUAAUGAAUUUUGUAGUAUAAGAUAACUGUUUAAUAAAGUAUUAUUCUUUUA